rnacentral:rRNA from 1 species
GACUGGAGUCUGCAACCCGACUCCACGAAGCUGGAUUCGCUAGUAAUCGCGCAUCAGCCACGGCGCGGUGAAUACGUUCCCGGGCCUUGUACACACCGCCCGUCAAGCCAUGGGAGCCGGGGGUACCUGAAGUGCGUAACCGCGAGGAGCGCCCUAGGGUAAAACUGGUGACUGGGGCUAAGUCGUAACAAGGUACC